rnacentral:rRNA from 1 species
GACGAACGCUGGCGGCGUGCUUAACACAUGCAAGUCGAACGGAAAGGCCCAGCUUGCUGGGUGCUCGAGUGGCGAACGGGUGAGUAACACGUGGGUGAUCUGCCCCUAACUUCGGGAUAAGCUUGGGAAACUGGAUCUAAUACCGGAUAGGACAAUCGUUUAGUGUCGGUUGUGGAAAGUUUUUUCGGUUAGGGAUGAGCCCGCGGCCUAUCAGCUUGUUGGUGGGGUGAUGGCCUACCAAGGCGUCGACGGGUAGCGGGCCUGAGAGGGUGGACGGCCACAUUGGGACUGAGAUACGGCCCAGACUCCUACGGGAGGCAGCAGUGGGGAAUAUUGCACAAUGGGCGGAAGCCUGAUGCAGUGACGCCGCGUGGGGGAUGACGGCCUUCGGGUUGUAAACCUCUUUCGACAGGGACGAAGCUUUGGUGACGGUACCUGUAUAAGAAGCACCGGCUAACUACGUGCCAGCCGCCGCGGUAAGAC